rnacentral:rRNA from 2 species
CUGUGAGCUCGAUGAGUAGGGCGGGACACGUGGUAUCCUGUCUGAAUAUGGGGGGACCAUCCUCCAAGGCUAAAUACUCCUGACUGACCGAUAGUGAACCAGUACCGUGAGGGAAAGGCGAAAAGAACCCCGGCGAGGGGAGUGAAAAAGAACCUGAAACCGUGUACGUACAAGCAGUGGGAGCCUCUUUAUGGGGUGACUGCGUACCUUUUGUAUAAUGGGUCAGCGACUUAUAUUCUGUAGCAAGGUUAACCGAAUAGGGGAGCCGAAGGGAAACCGAGUCUUAACUGGGCGUUAAGUUGCAGGGUAUAGACCCGAAACCCGGUGAUCUAGCCAUGGGCAGGUUGAAGGUUGGGUAACACUAACUGGAGGACCGAACCGACUAAUGUUGAAAAAUUAGCGGAUGACUUGUGGCUGGGGGUGAAAGGCCAAUCAAACCGGGAGAUAGCUGGUUCUCCCCGAAAGCUAUUUAGGUAGCGCCUCGUGAAUUCAUCUCCGGGGGUAGAGCACUGUUUCGGCAAGGGGGUCAUCCCGACUUACCAACCCGAUGCAAACUGCGAAUACCGGAGAAUGUUAUCACGGGAGACACACGGCGGGUGCUAACGUCCGUCGUGAAGAGGGAAACAACCCAGACCGCCAGCUAAGGUCCCAAAGUCAUGGUUAAGUGGGAAACGAUGUGGGAAGGCCCAGACAGCCAGGAUGUUGGCUUAGAAGCAGCCAUCAUUUAAAGAAAGCGUAAUAGCUCACUGGUCGAGUCGGCCUGCGCGGAAGAUGUAACGGGGCUAAACCAUGCACCGAAGCUGCGGCAGCGACACUAAGUGUUGUUGGGUAGGGGAGCGUUCUGUAAGCCUGUGAAGGUGUACUGUGAGGUAUGCUGGAGGUAUCAGAAGUGCGAAUGCUGACAUAAGUAACGAUAAAGCGGGUGAAAAGCCCGCUCGCCGGAAGACCAAGGGUUCCUGUCCAACGUUAAUCGGGGCAGGGUGAGUCGACCCCUAAGGCGAGGCCGAAAGGCGUAGUCGAUGGGAAACAGGUUAAUAUUCCUGUACUUGGUGUUACUGCGAAGGGGGGACGGAGAAGGCUAUGUUGGCCGGGCGACGGUUGUCCCGGUUUAAGCGUGUAGGCUGGUUUUCCAGGCAAAUCCGGAAAAUCAAGGCUGAGGCGUGAUGACGAGGCACUACGGUGCUGAAGCAACAAAUGCCCUGCUUCCAGGAAAAGCCUCUAAGCAUCAGGUAACAUCAAAUCGUACCCCAAACCGACACAGGUGGUCAGGUAGAGAAUACCAAGGCGCUUGAGAGAACUCGGGUGAAGGAACUAGGCAAAAUGGUGCCGUAACUUCGGGAGAAGGCACGCUGAUAUGUAGGUGAAGCGACUUGCUCGUGGAGCUGAAAUCAGUCGAAGAUACCAGCUGGCUGCAACUGUUUAUUAAAAACACAGCACUGUGCAAACACGAAAGUGGACGUAUACGGUGUGACGCCUGCCCGGUGCCGGAAGGUUAAUUGAUGGGGUUAGCGCAAGCGAAGCUCUUGAUCGAAGCCCCGGUAAACGGCGGCCGUAACUAUAACGGUCCUAAGGUAGCGAAAUUCCUUGUCGGGUAAGUUCCGACCUGCACGAAUGGCGUAAUGAUGGCCAGGCUGUCUCCACCCGAGACUCAGUGAAAUUGAACUCGCUGUGAAGAUGCAGUGUACCCGCGGCAAGACGGAAAGACCCCGUGAACCUUUACUAUAGCUUGACACUGAACAUUGAGCCUUGAUGUGUAGGAUAGGUGGGAGGCUUUGAAGUGUGGACGCCAGUCUGCAUGGAGCCGACCUUGAAAUACCACCCUUUAAUGUUUGAUGUUCUAACGUUGGCCCCUGAUCGGGGUUGCGGACAGUGUCUGGUGGGUAGUUUGACUGGGGCGGUCUCCUCCUAAAGAGUAACGGAGGAGCACGAAGGUUGGCUAAUCCUGGUCGGACAUCAGGAGGUUAGUGCAAUGGCAUAAGCCAGCUUGACUGCGAGCGUGACGGCGCGAGCAGGUGCGAAAGCAGGUCAUAGUGAUCCGGUGGUUCUGAAUGGAAGGGCCAUCGCUCAACGGAUAAAAGGUACUCCGGGGAUAACAGGCUGAUACCGCCCAAGAGUUCAUAUCGACGGCGGUGUUUGGCACCUCGAUGUCGGCUCAUCACAUCCUGGGGCUGAAGUAGGUCCCAAGGGUAUGGCUGUUCGCCAUUUAAAGUGGUACGCGAGCUGGGUUUAGAACGUCGUGAGACAGUUCGGUCCCUAUCUGCCGUGGGCGCUGGAGAACUGAGGGGGGCUGCUCCUAGUACGAGAGGACCGGAGUGGACGCAUCACUGGUGUUCGGGUUGUCAUGCCAAUGGCACUGCCCGGUAGCUAAAUGCGGAAGAGAUAAGUGCUGAAAGCAUCUAAGCACGAAACUUGCCCCGAGAUGAGUUCUCCCUGACUCCUUGAGAGUCCUGAAGGAACGUUGAAGACGACGACGUUGAUAGGCCGGGUGUGUAAGCGCAGCGAUGCGUUGAGCUAACCGGUACUAAUGAACCGUGAGGCUUAACCUU